CUUGGCAGUUCUUUUUCAGACCACUAGAUGUCACUUCCAUUUCAAAGGAACCCACUGGUUGGAAUUUUCCCCAGUCAGGUCCCCACAGCCUUCAAGUCUUAAAGACACACAGACCACAAAAGAAAACUUCAUUUUCCCCGGAGGACCAAGACACUGGAAACCUGGCCAGGAGCUGCCCCCAACCCUCAGCUGAAGCUUCCAGGGGCUCCAUAACAUCCCAUCCCAACCCUGGAAAGAGCCAGAGGUGAUGGAACUCCAUCUCCCCAUCCCCCACCUGUCCUACAGGUUAGUAUGGGGAUGGUAUUUUCUGAAAUGAACAAAAAAAUGAAAGACGUGAUGAAAUGAAUGUGAGUGCAUUUGAGGGGGACGAUGUUUGAAACAGGGGACAUAUAUGCCAAAGAUCCUCUUCAGGGCCAGGAGAUUCCAGGUUCAUCAAGGUCAUGUUGUCCAUCCCCAGGCUUCAGACUAUCCUCAAAAAGUUCGGGUAAGGCAGCGCUGAAGGGAAGUUCCAGGGACCUUGCUUUCUCCACUCCAGUCCCCAAUAUUCAGUCAACAUCUCUUGGCUGGCUGGGGCUGAUUAUUAUAAAGUACAACCUUUGUGAGGUAAGUAUAAAGAUAACCCCAUUUGACAAAUGAAGACACAGAGGUAUGGAGAGGGUUAAGUGAGAAAGUUCUCCCCAAGCCUCUUGCUGCUGUCCCAUCUCAGCUCCCCACAGAAAUGCGGCAUGGAUUCAGCUGGUUGGUUUAUCUACAGCUCAGAGGGAAGACUGACGUUCAAAGAAGUGAAGCAACUCACCCAGCGAAUAAGUGAGUAGAACAAGGGCUAACACCCAAGUCUUCUUAGUUCUCAGACAAAUGCUCCUGCCUCUUCAUUAUGCCUCCGAGAUAAGGUGAGCUGCUUCCAGAGCAGUUAGCAUCAUACAUAGAAAACUGUUCAUUGUCAGUAUCUGACCUCUAGCCCCAACCACUUAUCAACAGCCAGUCAUAACCACAGCUGACCCUUUAUCUUGACUACAAGCUUGCUUUACCCUGGCUACCACUUGACCCCUAACCCUGGCCACUGCUGGCCCCUAAUUGAGACCACAAGCUAUCCCUAAUGCCAGCCAUGUUCAGCACUGGCCAG
rnacentral:lncRNA from 10 species